rnacentral:misc_RNA from 1 species
GUUUUUUGGGAGUAGGUUGGAGGUGAAUUUGUAGUAAAAGGAUCUUUUUGUUAUGAUAAAAGAAAAAGAACUUAUCACUUGGUUAUAACUUUUAAUUUGCUGUUCUUCUUCUUCUUUAUGGCUUUUGAUUCAUGUAUCUCUCUGUGUCUGUCUGUUCCAGGCUUUGUUUCUUUUUGGAGCUUCCUGUUGGGUUUCAGGGAAGAAAAAUUAAGAAAAAAAGUAAAAGAGAUUUCUACUGAAACUAAGACUGAUUUCUUUCUUUUCUUUCUUACACACUUUCUGUUGUACAUGACUAUUUUUAGAGCCAAAUAUUAUAUGGAUUCUACCUAAUUAACUAAGAGAGGAAUGGAGCACCUUACUUAGAAGAUUAGUCUUACAAGUUUAUAAUAUCUACUUUUGCAGCUAGAUUU